rnacentral:rRNA from 1 species
AGACUAAUCGAACCGUCUAGUAGCUGGUUCCCUCCGAAGUUUCCCUCAGGAUAGCUGGCGCCCGGGAGAGAGAGAGAGAGAGAGCWKUUGCAUCCGGUAAAGCGAAUGAUUAGAGGCCUUGGGGCGGAAAMGACCUCAACCUAUUCUCAAACUUUAAAUUCGUGCGGGGCCCGACCCGCCGGCUCGGGGCCGGGC